rnacentral:lncRNA from 1 species
UUUUUUGCUUCCUUUUUCUUGUUAUGGUUUUGACAAGGCUACUUUUUCUUCUUCUUUUUUUUGUUGUGCUAGUAUUUUAGCAAAUACACACCAAAACAAGGUUACUAGAAAAAAUAGUGGUAUUAAAUUAAUCUCUUUUUGUUUGUGAUGUUUGACAAACAUAUGUUAAAUUAAUUGGUAAUGUAUUUUAAGGGUACAUGUCAAUCC